rnacentral:lncRNA from 1 species
AGUACUGAGGUAGCGCUCGUCCUCCCGCCGGUCCACCACCACCGAGUGUAGCCCGGGCCCGGCCUAUUUCAUCAGACACAACCCCAGAGCCGGGAGCCACCCCUACCCCGGGAGCCCUUCGCCAAGCACGCAGCUCCAGACCAGAAGCAGUCGCUCCGACCCAGAGCUCCGGGUGGGGUAAAGAGAUUGCUUUUACUCACCGCCUCCGAGAUUGCCUCGGGAUUCGCGAAAGCCCCCGAAGGGAAGCGAGCACUUUCUGAGGCUGUGAAAGGACGGCUGCUCGCUUUUCUCUUUCGCCCUUUUCCCUCACCAGAGUGCCAAAUCCUCGGUGGGAAAGCCGACCCCUCCGGACAGCCCGCGCUUUAAGGCCGGGGGCUGCCGGCCGGGCUCGGAGGCGGCCGGACCCGCCCCGCCCGGGAGCCCGCGCGACGUCACGCGGGAGUUCCACUUGCGUCACGCCCCUUCCUCCAGCUGCCCAUCGCGGCGGCGCACUUCGUGCCCUAGCUGAGGAGCGGGCUCUUCGGUGCGGCCCAUCCCGGAGGGCGAUGGUUGGGGAGGGGAGCGCUACCUCGGAGCUGCCGGGAGCUACCCGAAGAGUCUGGCGACCGCCACAGCAUUUCUGAAUUGCGCUGGGGAAAGCUCAAGCCGUUCUGUUGGGGGAGCAUCAAGCCCUUGCGGUUCUGUGAAAGUUAUCUGUACACUGUGUCUAGCUUAAGCAUUUUGCAGGGAAGCAUGUGUAGAGUGACCUGUACCGAAUGAAGAGUUAAAAUUAACUGAUGGGGGGUAUGGACGCGGAUCCGUCUAACAUAGUUUUCGGCCUUGUCGCUGUUAUCUGCAGUUUAGUGAUGUGACCUGACAGGGUUGUGCGGUAACGCCAUAGAUCAAAACGAUCUGUAUUUUGCUGAGGUUAAACGGGAAGUUUCUGGCAAAUUUGAAACGAGAAGGAAUCUCCUUCAGCAUUAUUUAUUGGGACAACAUGCUGUUAGAUAAUUUUUUUUAAAAAGUCCAUUUUUCUUGUGGCUGUUCGUUUGAGAUUCAAACCGAUAGUAGGUAUUCCUAUUUCUCCUGAUUUGUAAAAGAAUCGUUUUUAGACCACUAGAAAUUCUACAAAUGAACAAAAUAGACUAGAAUCAAAUAUCUUUUA